rnacentral:rRNA from 1 species
GUGCCGGAGGUCGGCCCAGCAGCAAGUCCCCCUGACCGGGGCUCUUUCCCAGAGUGGGUGCGAGGCCCAUAGCUGCGGGGCCCCUUCCGGAUGCGAUCUCCUUGGAGUCGGGUUGCUUGGGAGUGCAACCCUAAUCGGGUGGUAAACUCCACCUAAGACUAAAUACCGCCGUGAGACCGAUAGCAAACAAGUACCGUGAGGGAAAGUUGCAAAGAACUUUGAAGAGAGAGUUCAAGAGUACGUGAAACUGCUCAGAGGAAAACGGGUGGGCCCUCGAAAUCCUGCGGCGGGAGGAUUCAGUCGAGAGGUUCGGGGGCGGAGUCGGGGCCGAGAGAGAAUGGCACCCGCGACCGGGACCUCCCCGGUUUCGCCUUCCCGUUCCGACCGACGCAUUUCUUUCCCGCCCGAAGGACGCCGCAACCGGUUGGCGGGGCGGCCUUAAGGACGAGAGCUGGCAGGUGGCCGGUGGCCUUCCCUCGUGGUGGGCCGCCGGUUGUUAGCCGUCUCGUCGCACGGCCGCACCCCGACCG